rnacentral:lncRNA from 1 species
UGGAGAUUUGUAGUAGUAUGGUGGUGAGACGUAAUGUGGGGGUGGUGGUGGAGAUUUGUAGUAGUAAGGUGGUGGAGGAGAUGGUGAAGGUGGUGGUGGAGACUUGUAGUAGUAAGGUGGUGGUGGUGAGGGUGAUGGAGGUGGUGGAGACUUGUAGUAGUAUGGGGGUUGUUCUUCAUGCUUUGGUGGUGGUGGUGGGGACUUGUAGUAGUAAGGAGGUGGUGGAGAUGGUGAAGGUGGUGGUGGAGAUUUAUAGUAGUAAGGUGGUGGUGGUGAGGGUGAUGGAGGUGGUGGAGACUUGUAGUAGUAUGGGGGUUGUUCUUCAUGCUUUGGUGGUGGUGGUGGAGAUUUGUAGUAGUAUGGAGGAGGUGGUGAUGGAGACGGAGGUGGUGGGGACUUGUAGUAGUAAGGAGGAGGUGGUGAUGGAGAUGGAGGAGGAGGUGACUUGUAGUAGUAUGGUGGUUGUUCUUCAUGCUUUGGUGGUGGUGGUGGGGACUUGUAGUAGUAUGGAG